GAUCUGGCUCAGGAUGAACGCUGGCGGCGUGCCUAACACAUGCAAGUCGAACGGACUUACAUUGAAGCCUAGCGAUAUGUAAGUUAGUGGCGGACGGGUGAGUAACGCGUGGGUAACCUGCCUUGUACUGGGGGACAACAGUUGGAAACGACUGCUAAUACCGCAUAAGCGCACAGCUUCGCAUGAAGCAGUGUGAAAAACUCCGGUGGUACAAGAUGGACCCGCGUCUGAUUAG
rnacentral:rRNA from 1 species